GACGAACGCUGGCGGCGUGCUUAACACAUGCAAGUCGAACGGAAAGGCCCUGCUUUUGUGGGGUGCUCGAGUGUCGAACGGGUGAGUAACACGUGAGUAACCUGCUCUUGACUUUGGGAUAACUUCAGGAAACUGGGGCUAAUACCGGAUAGGAUCUCCUGCUGCAUUGUGGUGGUUGGAAAGUCUCGGCGGUUGGGGAUGGACUCGCGGCUUAUCAGCUUGUUGGUGGGGUAGUGGCUUACCAAGGCUUUGACGGGUAGCCGGCCUGAGAGGGUGACCGGACACAUUGGGACUGAGAUACGGCCCAGACUCCUACGGGAGGCAGCAGUGGGGAAUAUUGCACAAUGGGCGGAAGCCUGAUGCAGCAACGCCGCGUGCGGGAUGACGGCCUUCGGGUUGUAAACCGCUUUCGCCUGUGACGAAGCGUGAGUGACGGUAAUGGGUAAAGAAGCACCGGCUAACUACGUG
rnacentral:rRNA from 1 species